rnacentral:siRNA from 1 species
AUAUAAUAGCUUGAUGGCUGGUAC